AUAUAGCAACCCCUCAGACCUGUCUGGUUGACAUUACCACUGACCAUAACCAGCUAAUCCUAGUUUGAACUUUGCCUUGGACCACCUACCCUCCAGAAAGUGUGCUGCAAUGGGCCCUGGAUGAAACAGCUGCUGAAUCACAGAUCCUCCUUGCAGAUUGCUUACUCUAGAGUAAGGUAUUAUUGACCCGUAGCGAUCUGAAGAACUUUUGCUUCCUGAUUCGCAUCCCAUCUCCUUCACUGCAGAGGAAGUGGAUUCUUCACAGGCAGCAGUGUUACUGAAGAAAUGAAUGAAAAGGGAAUGCAAAAAAUAGAGUUCCCAGGACUACACAGGUACCUGCUGCCUUCACCACUAACCUGCACCCCCUUACGAGGAAACACUCCUAGAGUAGGAGCUCCAACACGGAUCUCCCUCUGCUUCCUGCCUGCGGACCGUGAGCACUUGUCUCCUGCUCCUACAAUCAUGUCUUCCGACCACGACAGAUGACUGCAAGCCAUGAGCCCCAGUAAAACCACCCAAAGGAAAUGUUUGAAAAGAGCUGUAAGUUUUUAGACACUUUCAUA